CAUUGCGCAAUGGAGGAAACUCUGACGCGGUGACGCCGCGUAUAGGAAGAAGGUUUUCGGAUUGUAAACUAUUGUCGUUAGGGAAGAAAAAAGACAGUACCUAAGGAGGAAGCUCCGACUAACUACGUGCCAGCAGCCGCGGUAAUACGUAGGGAGCGAGCGUUAUCCGGAUUUAUUGGGUGUAAAGGGUGCGUAGACGGGUAUACAAGUUGGUUGUGAAAUCCCUCGGCUUAACUGAGGAACUGCAACCAAAACUGUAUAUCUUGAGUACAGGAGAGGUAAGUGGAAUUCCUAGUGUAGCGGUGAAAUGCGUAGAUAUUAGGAGGAACACCAGUGGCGAAGGCGACUUACUGGACUGAGACUGACGUUGAGGCACGAAAGUGUGGGGAGCAAACAGGA
rnacentral:rRNA from 1 species